rnacentral:rRNA from 1 species
GCAUAAUCAUUAGUCUUUUAAUUGAAGGCUGGUAUGAAUGGCGGGACGAGGUAUUAACUGUCUCUUUUAAAUUAUGUUGGAAUUUGAUUUUUCAGUCAAAAAGCUGAAAUAUUGUUGGAGGACGAGAAGACCCUAUAGAGCUUGAUAUCUUAGGUUUAUUUUCUGUUUAAAUUUAGAAUUUAAGGGGAAGAUAUUUUGUUGGGGCGACAGGAAGAAAUAAUAACCUCUUCUUUAUAUUGAUCAUAAAUUUAUGUGUUUUUGAUCCGUUUUUUACGAUUAUAAGAUUAAGUUACCUUAGGGAUAACAGCGUAAUUCUUUUUGAGAGUUCCUAUCGACAAAAGAGUUUGCGACCUCGAUGUUGGAUUAAGAUAAAUUCUGGGUGUAGAAGCUUGGAAUCUAGGUCUGUUCGACCUUUGGAAUCUUACAU